rnacentral:lncRNA from 1 species
GUAGCCUAGGCUCCCCACUCAGCCUUUGAUGAUGUGGGGAUGGGGCUACAGUUGUGGGUUUUUUUCCCCACCUUUUGUGGUGUUAGGCUGGAGUAGAAUGGCUGUGGUCUAAAAGAUUCCUAUUUUGCUGGACUGCCCUAUCUUGGUGCUUUGGAAAGAGAGAGCAGGCUUUUCUCGGGGUUUUUUUGGUCUAUGUCCAUUGUUUUUCAGGUUGCUGGCUUCUCCAGCACCCUUUCUGGGCUAUAUGAAGAAAAAAAAAACUCCAGAUAACCCACUCCUGUGUCAUUCCUCGGGUCCUAACAUCCAGCUGGUCUGCCCGUUCUCCACUUUCAGAAUUUUCUCUUUUGUUUUAUAUGUGAUGUGUAGGGCUUUUAGCUGUACUGAGUGUGAGGAUUGAAAAAGCAUAUCUACUCCCUAUUUCUGGGAGUUGAAGUCUCAUAUAUUGCUUUAACCAUGUCACUGAUGCCUUUAACUUGAUCUGCCAGGCAGCAGGUGUCCUCUCAGUCCUUCAUGGACUAGGCCAAAGAAGAGGCAGAGACUGACCUUGCCUUCCAGAGCUUACAGCUUCCCUAAGGCACAAAACGUUGCCUCAGUUAAGCUCAGAUAGUGAAGGACAAGAUGUCAUUAAAGAUGAGAUUACUUUGGGUAGCUCGGUUGGGGAGAGCUUCCUGCAGGAGUGAAAGUGGAGCUAGACCAGUUGGGCAGGUUUUAGAGAGGAGGGGCAGGAAGUACAAGUGGCAGAAGCACAGGUCUUGAGGAACAGGAAGAGAUGGGCAGGAGAGGUGGGGUGGGAGGCAGCAGUGACAGAGCUGGCUUGGCUGGAGCCUAGGCCGAAUCAAGAGAGCCUGGAGAACACACUGUGGGCCCUGAAUCCCAUGCAGGGGACUUGAGAGUACGUCUUCAGAAGAGGAAUCUGGGAUGGGCAUCGAAGCAACAAUGAUUCCUCUUCUGUCGAGUGGAGAGAAUCAGCCCAUCUCCUGCAACACAGAAGUAACUGGUGAAUUUAAAGGUAACUGCAAAUUUGAGAGAGCUUUGCUGUCUCAGUGCACACUGAUCUUGCUGCCUACGAAUUUCCAUAUUUCCCAUCUUAACUCCGUAAAUUUGUCUUUGAUUAUCUAUUUUCUUUCUUGUAUGUACUGCAAGCUCUUCCCACUGGUCUUUCUGCUUCCACGUUGCACAUUGCAACCAGAACUCUCUUGCUCAACACCAUUUGGCUAGGACACUAAAAAGCCUUCAAGAGUUUCCCGUUUCUCCUGAAGUUCAAACUAUGUUCCAUAGUCCCCAAGGCCGUGCGUGAUCUGGAGCCUGCCUGUUUCUCCAGCCUCACCCCAUCCCUCUCCUUGCUCACGCUGUUCCCAUGCCUUCUUUCAGUUCCUCGACCAGCCAAGUUCUUUUCAUCUCAGGGUGUUUUCACUUCUGUUUCCUCUCCCUGGAACAUCCUUCUCUCACUUUUUUUUGGGUGUGUGUUGCCAACUCCUUGUCUUAUCAACUUCUUGUCUCAGUUU